CACACACACACACACACACACACACACACACACACACACACACACACACACACACACACACACACACACACACACACACACACACACACACACACACACGCACACACACACACGCACACACACUGGGGAUGUAUUGCAGCUGUUUGAAGCUGAUAACCUCACAUUCAUUCCCGCAGCUUUCCUGUAUUUUCGGUUCUUUUCUUCCGCUGCACACAUAAAUCAAUAAGAAAGCUGCUCCGCCGUUUAAAGUGUGCCCUCGUCUUCUCCGAGCAUACGAACACAUGAUUUAAGCAUAGGCCUAUCAAAGCUGGAAAUCAGAACUAUCUGUUCCUGCCAACAAGCAAGCAGGCAGGUCACCUCAACCCAGCUGGUAGAUGGGUGGGAGGGAGAUGAAAAACAAACUGUUUAUGGACCACCAUCCUCGCUGCAUGACCGUACCAUCAGGAUCAUGCUCAUGUUUGGAGAAAAAGGCAAUAAAAGGAAGCGGGUUUAUUGUAUGCUGGUUUAAACACUCACAUGGCGCUGGAAGUUCGAGAAGUGGAUGUCAGGGAUGAAGAGGACCGGCUGGGUCUCAAGGUCGGACAUCGUUUUGAAGAUGGUCACAUCGUUUCGCUUCUGGAGGAGGGGGACUUUCACGUCUGGAACUGCAAGAAAAACUCUUUAGCAAUAAUUUAUCAACAGUUCCAGCUGGGUUUUAUUAUGGAAACUUUUAUUAUUCACAUUGCUUUUUAUAAAAAGAAAUGACUGAUUUAUUUUAUUUUAUUUACUUUAUGGCACUGACAGCACUCAGGUAGGUGGAGGUAGUUUGAAAUGUGAUAAAUAUGCUGCUGAGUCCCUCUGUUGGCUGAUCUGGAGCCGUUAAGUCUCCAUUCACUGGACCUUGUUUGAAAAUUACAAACUAACCUUAAAAAAACCUACCUGAAACUAUUGAGCAAAACAACUUUUUUUAAAUUAUAUUUGAUUCUAUUUUAUUCUAUUUUUAAUCUUAUUAUUCAUGUUAUAUGUAGCACAUUAGUACCGAAGCAAGUUCCUAGUUUGUGAAUUGUUUGUUCACUGACAAUGGUAAUAAACCUAUUCUGAUUCUGAACU